GACGAACGCUGGCGGCGUGCCUAACACAUGCAAGUCGAACGAAGCAUUUAAGUGAAUCCCUUCGGGGUGAAGCUUUUAUGACUUAGUGGCGGACGGGUGAGUAACGCGUGAGUAACCUGCCUUUCAGAGGGGGAUAACAGUUGGAAACGACUGCUAAUACCGCAUAACGUAUCGGAACCGCAUGAUACAGUUAGGAAAGGAGCAAUCCGCUGAUAGAUGAGCUUGCGCCUGAUUAGAUAGUUGGUGGGGUAAUGGCCUACCAAGUCGACGAUCAGUAGCCGGACUGAGAGGUUGAACGGCCACAUUGGGACUGAGAUACGGCCCAGACUCCUACGGGAGGCAGCAGUCGGGAAUAUUGCGCAAUGGAGGAAACUCUGACGCAGUGACGCCGCGUAUAGGAAGAAGGUUUUCGGAUUGUAAACUAUUGUCGUUAGGGAAGAUACAAGACAGUACCUAAGGAGGAAGCCCCGGCUAACUAUGUG
rnacentral:rRNA from 1 species